GUUUAAUUAAAAAAAUUAAAAAAUAAAUAAAUAAAAUAAUGUGCAUUCGCGUAAAGUUAGCCCAAAUACAUUUUUUCCUCCUACAUACCUAUCGCUAUGAAGGUAUAAAAAAGAUAGGUUAAGAGUUCACAUAGCUGGAAAACUACAUGGAGAAUUAUAGGCAAUACAAGAUAAUGAGCUCCAUCAAAUGAAUUCGAAUGAAACCAAACUGUUUACCAUCCAAAUUCGAUUGUCGGGCAGAUAGAAAACGAAAAUUCACUCAUAGUGAACCUCGGCCUGCAUUUGUGAAACGGCAAAGACUCACUAUUAUCAAGGAAAUUGAAGAGACGACUAAAAAUGAGAUGUACGACACAUCUCAUGUUCCUAAAUGUUCUUAGGAUUUUCUUAGGUGUGUAAUCCACCAACCAGCACUAGGCCAGCGUGGUGGACUAAGGCCUAAAAACCCUCUCAAUGGUAGUGAAGGCCAGUGUCCAGCAAGGGGAUAUAUUAUAUGGGCUGAUGAUGAUGACUAGGAAGUUAAAUACUACUACUACUACUACGACAGUACACAAAUAAUCCUAUAUAUUUACAAACUAUACGUUUGUUGGAAAUUGCUAACAUUAUUUCAUAUUUCCAGAUGUCCAGCCACUUGAAAAUAGGUGUAGUAAUGACAAAGCUAUCCAAGUAGCUCCAGCACAGGAACACAAAGGCAAGGCAAGUGUGUAUUGCCACAUCACCCCUUAAUAUAUCUGAAGCAAGUAUAAGUAAACAAUCAGAACCAGCAAAAAAAAAAACUGUUGUUCCUGAGGACAAAUUUGACAGUGAUGAGUCAAAUGCACCAGCAACAGAAGGAUCAACUGUUGACUAUGGGUUAUAGAAGAAGAAGAUUAAUUCAUAUUUAUUUAAAUUAAUAUUAAUGAAUAUUAAUUUAAAUUAUCGUGCAAAAUUUGUGGUCAAAACAUAUGUGUAUUUUAUAAAUAAAUAUUCAUUCUCAGUA